UACGUAGGGUGCAAGCGUUAAUCGGAAUACUGGGCGUAAAGCGUGCGCAGGCGGUUUUGUAAGUCUGUCGUGAAAUCCCCGGGCUCAACCUGGGAAUGGCGAUGGAGACUGCAAGGCUAGAGUUUGGCAGAGGGGGGUAGAAUUCCACGUGUAGCAGUGAAAUGCGUAGAUAUGUGGAGGAACACCGAUGGCGAAGGCAGCCCCCUGGGUCAAAACUGACGCUCAUGCACGAAAGCGUGGGGAGCAAACAGG
rnacentral:rRNA from 1 species